AACGAACGCUGGCGGCAGGCCUAACACAUGCAAGUCGAACGCCCUAGCAAUAGGGAGUGGCAGACGGGUGAGUAACACGUGGGAACCUUCCCUGUGGUACGGAAUAGCCCAGGGAAACUUGGAGUAAGUCCGUAUAAGCCCGAGAGGGGAAAGAUUUAUCGCUACAGGAUGGGCCCGCGUCGGAUUAGCUAGUUGGUGAGGUAAUGGCUCACCAAGGCGACGAUCCGUAGCUGGUUUGAGAGAACGACCAGCCACACUGGGACUGAGACACGGCCCAGACUCCUACGGGAGGCAGCAGUGGGGAAUAUUGGACAAUGGGCGAAAGCCUGAUCCAGCCAUGCCGCGUGAGUGAUGAAGGCCUUAGGGUUGUAAAGCUCUUUUGUCGGGGACGAUAAUGACGGUACCCGAAGAAUAAGCUCCGGCUAACUUCGUGCCAGCCGCCGCAGUAA
rnacentral:rRNA from 1 species